GACGAACGCUGGCGGCGUGCUUAACACAUGCAAGUCGAGCGGUAAGGCCCUUUCGGGGGUACACGAGCGGCGAGCGGGUGAGUAACACGUGGGUGACCUGCCCUCAGCUCUGGGAUAAGCCUGGGAAACCGGGUCUAAUACUGGAUAUGACUCCAUGACGCAUGUUGUGGGGUGGAAAGCCUUGUGCGGCUGAGGAUGGGCCCGCGGCCUAUCAGCUUGUUGGUGGGGGUGAUGGCCUACCAAGGCGACGACGGGUAGCCGGCCUGAGAGGGCGACCGGGCCACACUGGGACUGAGACACGGCCCAGACUCCUACGGGAGGCAGCAGUGGGGAAUCUUGCGCAAUGGGCGAAAGCCUGACGCAGCGACGCCGCGUGAGGGAU
rnacentral:rRNA from 1 species